rnacentral:rRNA from 1 species
GAUCCUGGCUCAGGAUGAACGCUAGCGACAGGCCUAACACAUGCAAGUCGAGGGGCAACAUGGUAUCAGCUUGCUGAUACUGAUGGCGACCGGCGCACGGGUGAGUAACGCGUAUGUAAUCUACCUGUAACAGAGGGAUAACCCGGAGAAAUCCGGACUAAUACCUCAUAGCACAUAUUAUUCGCAUGAAUUUUAUGUUAAAGAGACUCGGUUACAGAUGAACAUGUCG